rnacentral:rRNA from 1 species
CUACGGAGGCAGCAGUGAGGAAUAUUGCACAAUGGGGGGAACCCUGAUGCAGCAACGCCGCGUGGAGGAUGACGCAUUUCGGUGUGUAAACUCCUUUUAUAUGUCAAGAAAAUGACGGUAGCAUAUGAAUAAGCACCGGCUAACUCACGUGCCAGCAGCCGCGGUAAUACGGAGGGUGCAAGCGUUACUCGGAAUCACUGGGCGUAAAGGACGCGUAGGCGGGUAGGAAAGUCAGGUGUGAAAUCCUACAGCUUAACUGUAGAACUGCACUUGAAACUUCUAAUCUAGAGUAUGGGAGGGGGAGAUGGAAUUAGUGGUGUAGGGGUAAAAUCCGUAGAUAUCACUAGGAAUACCUAAAGCGAAGGCGAUCUCCUGGAACAUUACUGACGCUAAGGCGUGAAAGCGUGGGGAGCAAACAGGAUUAGAUACCCCUGUAGUC